UUUUAACCGACCAUUGGACCAAAUCGAACCACUGUACCAAACCGCCUUGCCAAAAACACACCGACCCGUCUACCGAUCCUACCCACCUAGUGACCCGAAAGUCAACACCGGGCCAACCCGACCCAUCUAGCUAACUCCGACCCACUACCCAAACCAGACCUGAAGGACCUAAUUGAAGAUCUUUGAAGAAAUUGAAAAUUUGUUGAAGACCCAGAACAAGCUCGGGAAACCUACAACAAGUAACCGCAUGGAGAAAGUUUCUAAGAAAUGCUUGUAGGAGUCAGUUUGGAGUAUGGGCAAACGAUCUAGUAUUAUACUUAGGAGUUUGGUUAACAUUAGUUUCAUGUGUGUUGUACUUCGAUUUCGUGAAUGAUUAUACCUUGAUUAUAGUUAGGGUUAUAUAGCUUCCGUAUGCAUAAUGUGAAAUUCUCUGAUAGGUGUUUGAGUUUAUGUGUU